CCCAUGGCAGGGGGGUGUAAUCAGAUGAUCUUUAAGGUCCCUUCCAACCCAAACCAUUCUAUGAUUCUAUGAAUGGGAGAUGUGGUCCUCCUUCCACACCCUGCCUGUAUCUGCUGCUUACAGAUGAGGCAUUUGCUUUCCUGAUUUUUCUCCCUGAUUUCAUAGGAGCCCACAUCCGUGGCCAUGGAGGUGUGGUGAGCCUGUUUCACUGGGGAAACAUGUAUGCUGCCAUAGCUGGGGGGUGGUGGUGGCCGUGGGGGGUCACUGCAGAUGGUCCAGGAAGCCCAUGCUGUCCCUCCCCUCAACGUGGAGCAUCUUCUACAUCCACCUAGGGGAGAUCUUGGCUGAAGCAGCUGCCCUGCAGGCAGAAAAUCAAAAUAUAGGCCUCUUGCAGAGGCUGACCUCACCGCUGGAUUACUAAUGUCACCUCCUUCCUCUCCUGGGAAGCUGCUGUGGGGCAGCCAGCAGACUUACUGCACCUGGGAUGAUUUCUGGUUCAUGUACAGCUGUGGUCUAAUGCAAAGUGACAAAAACGGUACAGAGACUUAAAGCUGAGUGUGAGCCAUGAGCUUGCAUGAUGUUGCUGGCGCUCUCCCCUUGGUCCGAGCAGCCUGGCUGCUGACAGCCACCCUCAGUUUCAGGGGGGUAAAGGAGGGGCAGCUAUGGAAACCUAGUGUGGAGGCAUCCCCUGGUGGAAGAUGCAGCGGAGGACUGAUGUUUGUGCUGGAAGGAAGCUCUGGACUGAGCGGGCUUGGUAUCUAACAGCAGAUGCUUCUCCUGCUCUGUGCCAAUUUGGCAUCCCACCCUCUAGGACUGCCUCCCCAAAAUGAGCACAGUAGCAGGAAAAGAAAAUCCACCCCUACGAUAUCUGCCAAAACAGGAAGCAGAAGCAUGGGGCACACUCAGACCCAUGAUCUCUGGUCACUGGGAAACACUGAUUCAUCUCAGGGCAGCCUGCGGGCUGUGCUGGCCAGAGGGACCCCCUCUGGAAUUGCCUGAGCCUGGGUCACCUGCCUGACAGUCUGUGGCAUCAUCAUGGGACCAAAACACAGGCAUGCGUGUCAGAUUAAAAAUCAUGGGAAAGAUGAAAUGGUGCAAGACUUGGUCCUGAAGAGCAGUGACUUUGUGUGUGUGAUGGCAGUGUGCUAUUACAUCUGGUUUUCAGGGCAGCACGGUGCAGCUGGAGGCAAGCUUGGUGCUGCAUCUGCUGACCCUUUUGUGCAGGAGGCCAAAGGAUGUGGUUCCUGAGGGCUGCACACACCCCUGGCUCGGGGCAUGGCCAUGCAGGUGGUGCUCCUGGCUGCCUGCAGGCAGAGGAUGCUCUUCUGGACACGGCAGGACCCUGAGGCUGUGUUGCUUCCCCUGCCCUUGGCUGUGUGAUCUCUGCAGGACACAUAGGUGUCUGUCCCCAGGUAUGCAGCAGAUUUGCAGUGGAGACUCAGUGACACGUCUCAGGCCUGCUAAAACCUCUCUUUAAAUAUUCAGGGGGUCCUUCUGGAUCAGAAGCUUCACUACUGGCUUCUGAGACCAGUGUCUCACCCCCAGCUUAACACAGGAGACUCCUGCAGCGAGCAACAUGGGACAGACCAAGGGAGUCUGAUGCUCAGCUUGUGUUAGCAAAUGUAGCUGCUGCAAAUCUGCAGACACCCUUGUUUUUUUUGGACAAAUGUCUGUACAGAACAAUUUAUGUGAGCUACAAAGUAGAUUCACAUCAUGGGGUCUGUUGCUGGGCCUCAUCUUUCGCUACUUUAAAUUAACUUCAGUGGGCCCAGGGUAAUUCUGCCAGCAUGCAGGGGAACAGAAAGCAUCCUGUAAUUGGGCCUUAAAUUAACAACUCAGAGCUUAGGUGUCAUCCUUCAGAUGCUGCAUUUACCCGAAACAAAUCUAUCACUUCAACCCCCUGCUGAUCAACAGGAUCAUUGCGUUGCUUCUCUGUGUAGUCUGCUUCCCAAGACAGGCAUCUUGUGUUGAUGUAUAUGAAGUUGUCUAGUGGCUAACCAAGUUAUACCAGGCUGCGCAUAUUUUGGUACUGCAUGGAAAUUUUUAUGUGUUCUGUAACUACUACUGAGAAUGCACUGCAUAGGGCUACACUUUCUGUAUUUACAGUUUAUGCCAUCAAAGAAGUUAUGAUAAGUCUAUGGUUUUGAGAAUUCCUGGCUUUUGCAGUUUCUUCAUUAACAUGCAUGUCAAAUUUAUCAGCUGUAACCUAUUCUUAAAAGCAAGAGCUGCUUCAGAGAUUUGUAAUUUCAUUUUGCAGUUGCUUCCACAAUUUGAACAGUGAGCUCAGAUGGGAUCUUUCACCUCUUCCUCGUUGGGCAUUGAAGCCUGUCUUACUAGCAAUCCUAACACCCAAAUUUAGAUGCACAGAAGACUACAAAAGGAAUGUCUCUACCAAAAUAAUAAUAAUAAUAAUAAUGCUGUGAAUCCUUUGCACUAGAGAAUGAAUAAUUUGUACUGCCUAUGAAAAUGAAGAGAAUAUAAACAAGAAGUAUUCAUAAGGACAUUAUUCCAAAGAGAAGUUUGAAUUUCCUCUUUCUGCAUGCUGGAAAGCCAAUAUCCUUCUGUGCUAGCUAAAGGUGUGCCAAGAAGCAGAUCAUUAUGAGGGUAAAGGUUUUUUUUCCUGGAACCUGUUAAUUCGAUGCACUUAUGCGAUGAAUGGUAUUGGAGAGUUUUGUUCAAGCUUUGUUUAAUUACUUUUAUUACCAUACAGGGAAACUAUUAAUUUCCCUUUGGGAUUUUCCAUCAGCCGAGCUAAUUUGUCCCAAGUAAAUCCAGCUGUGCAUGCUGCAAUAUUAAGGCAGCAAGAGGGCUGGGUACAGGUGGCUGGCAGUGGCCCUGUGGGUGAAUGGGCAUCACCUGGCAACCAAGCUCAGAAGUUCUGUGGUGAUAUGCCCACGUAUCACUUGGAGCACACGGGCAGGGAGGUUGUGAGGGCAGGAACGGAGCGAAGAAACUGAGAGACGCUUUCCUGCUGGGAUCUCCUCUCAUGUCCAAGCCAAUUCAGGCUUGGCAAGUGCCACAGAGGGAAGUUUCCAGGGGAAAUCCAAAUGGCUGUGAGGACUCAGUGGCUGGCAUUUCAAACCCUCUGAGUCAGUGAGGAAUAAAUCCUGCACUGUUGAAAUCGACAGAUUUUGCUAUCCAGUUUACUGGCAGAAAGGCUCUUCAUCUCUUCAUAAAUACAGGCAUAUUCCUGAGUGAGGUCUGCACAACUCCUGAGGACUGAAAUUCCCAACGACCUUCCAAAAACUAAUCCUGUUUCCUCAGCAAACAUCUGAAGAACACUGCUAGAUCUUCUGGAUGAUAAUGGUUUUCUUCACCCCCAUGUGCCCGGAGGAGCCCAUGCUGCUGUGGUGGGUUAGGGUGCUUUGUGCAUAUUUGCUCUCAUGGGAGUUGUCCCAGCAGUGCAGAGGCCAGACCUGGAUCUUUCCUAAACCACCUUGGCAUUGGCUGUGGUUGAUAUAGUACUUCUAACACUCCCCAGUGCAAUAAAAUCAGCAAAUAUUAGAGAAGGAUAAGGAAAAUAAUAUCCCAAUGCCUAUGCAGGAGCAGUGUUCUGGAUGCAAUAAUUGAAGUGUAUCCUCCAUGUGUGCACUUUUAACUCUUUCAGGCUUCCGUCUGCAGUAUGAAGAAGGAGCUUCACUUAUGGGAGCUAAUAGGGCUGUUACUUAAAGUGUUAAAGAAACAUUUAUUAUUAUUAUUAUUAUUCACUAUGGAAAAGAAUAUUCCUUAGAGGAUUCUGCUCGGUACCUCCCAUGCAAGCAUUUUCCCAGAAACAGAGCUGUAAAAGCAACAAUGCAAUUAAUUUUUUCGUGUCGUGACUAAAACAAUGGAAUUUGAAUCUAUAUACAGUGGCCCAUGGCUAAAUGAUUGUGGUGAAAUAGUAGCUGUCAUUUGUAAUGGGUUGCAAAUAACUCUGGCAAACUCAAUGACAUUGCUGUGAGUUUUGCUGCCUAUCUGUAAACAAUUUUGUUAACUCAAGAUUUUCUCCUGCUAUAGAAGUUUAAUAGAGCAAAACCAGGCACCUAUUCAAGUAUUCUGCCCCUGUCGUGAGCAAAACAAGUCUUUUUUUUUUUUUUUUUUUUAAUUACUCCGCUCAAGAAACACAACCUUGAGUUUUUUCAGUAUUUAAUCACUCAUAAAAGGCAUUUCCAUGGAAAUCAGAAACACCAGAACUGAGGGUCAGGGCCAAAAGCUGAGGGUUCAGAUUCAAGGGGGGGAGGCAUGCAGCAGCCCCCUCCCCCUGAAACGCCAUGGUGGGACUGUGCAGUGUGGGCUGCUGGGUGGGGGCUAUGUCACCACAGUAGUGAAUAAAUGAGCAAAUAUAACUUUUUUUU